GUCUUAAAGCAAAAUCAAGCCUAAUAACAGGUGUCUGCCCUGAGUGACGUCUACAGUCACAGAACCAUUGGUUGACCUUGUAGAUGGGAAAGGGGCAUGAAAUCUAGUGACCACUGGAAGGCCACCUCAAAUAACAAGCACCUGGAGAACUAUACAAUCCACUUAUAUUUUAACAGUUGUGAAAUGAAGACGGAAAAGAUAAUUUCAAGUUCAUAGCAUACUGGGCACAUAAAAAUUGCCAAUUAACUGGGGAAAAGAAAAGACAAACAGAGGAACAGGAUGAUAAUACAAUGUAUAUGAAGUCUUCAUAAGUAUGUCUCCCUUUUGUGUGCCCAGGCAAUCUGGAUAAAGGCACAGGAGACAGAGAUGAUGCCAUAUACAGUCACUUACCCAGGAGCCAGCAGCAUAUGACAGUGUAUGGUUUGAUCCAACUAUUUUCCUUUACUUCAGGCAUGGAUUAGGAGAUGGAGAUAUUUCUACCUUAUUGUGAAGACAGUGCAAAUGUAAUGCAUGAAAACCAGGAUAGGCCGUCACUGUGCUGAAUACCAGGAGAAAAGUACAGAUAGGAACUCACAUGUCGAAGGUCCAGGGGUACAUGUGCAGGCUUGUUAUACAGAGGAGAGGUACAACGAGGGUUCUAAAGGGAUAUGUGUUCUUUGUAUCCGUCAAGGAAUACUGGGCAUGCCAAG